CAGCCGCCGCGGGAAUACGUAGGUGGCAAGCGUUGUCUGGAAUUAUUGGGCGUAAAGGGCUCGCAGGCGGUUUCUUAAGUCUGAUGUGAAAGCCCCCGGCUCAACCGGGGAGGGUCAUUGGAAACUGGGAAACUUGAGUGCAGAAGAGGAGAGUGGAAUUCCACGUGUAGCGGUGAAAUGCGUAUAGAUGUGUAGGAACACCAGUGGCGAAGGCGACUCUCUGGUCUGUAACUGACGCUGAGGAGCGAAAGCGUGGGGAGCGAACAGGAUUAGAUACCCGUGUAGUCCCUGUCUCUUAUAC
rnacentral:rRNA from 1 species